AAGGAGAAGACGCCCCGGGAGGGAGGGAAGGAGGGCGGGCGGUCUGAGCGGAGGCAGAGUUUGGAGGUGCGGAUACGCCGCCAGUGCGCGCUAACAGCGCGCAGCCGUGUCCGGCCGGCGCAAAGCCCGCGGCACCCAAGUAGUUCAAAAGCAGCACUUCUGCGCUCGCACGCAUUCAUGCAACAGGGGCGAUGGGCUUAGAGUCGCAGAGCCACCAACCCGGCAUCGUGGCCGUGCUUUUCGCCUUCCAACCUGCUCGGGCACCUCGUGCCACCCCGCUCCCCUGCUCUGUCCCCCUGCCCGUUCCGCAGCCCCCUGCACACCUUUGCGCAACGCUCUGGGAAUGCAUCGCCUGCUUUUUGAAGCACUGAUUUCACUGGGUUUCUAACUCAGUCUGUGUAACAUCUACGGUAAUGCAGCCCCAGCCCCGGCAAGUCUGGGUAGCGCUACUCAGUAACGAUAGAGAGCAGCAAGUAGUCUGCUGCUUCCUCAGGUCUCGAUUGGAAAGCAAGAGGAAAGCAGGACAGAAGGUUUAUCUGGGACACCGAGCCCAGCCCCAGGUAACCUCAGGAACCAGACGCACACACGAAGUUGGUGCUGCCAUCAAGAUUCAUUCCUCAGGCAAAGGAGAAAGAAGAGGGUGAGAGAGGUUCAGUGCAAUUUGUUAGAUUGCUCCGCUGGUGUUUUUGGACAAGAAAUAACUAGCAGUGCUAGCACCAGAUCCUCCAUCUGCUAUGGAAAAAGGAAGUUCUGCCCUUCUUUUAGCUCGUUAUGUUUAAAUUCCUCAUGCAGAUGGCAGGUAACUGGUUAAGAGCUGCAUGGGAAAGACCCGAAAUGGUUUAGCAUGUUUGUGUGCGUCUGUGAGCACCUUUUAAUAACAGGGAAACUGAGGCAUGGCAUUGACAUGACUCACAGAGCUAUUGAAAUAGUGGUGGAACCAGCACUGAAUCCAGCUCAGUUGUUUAGGAAUGCGUGGGGGGUGGGGGUUGGGGGGCAGAGGCGGAGCAGGGCAACCAGGGUCUUUAGUAUGGAGCAGUGCUAAGCCCAGGGUGCUAUGGGGGGGGGGCUCAGAUGCCACCCCGGUGGGUGCCUUCCCCUCACCCCCCACUGAUGGGAGCUUCAGCUCUUAGCACUUGGGUUUCACAGUUAAGAUCAAACUCCCCCAUAGUUCCUGAGGAGCAGUACCAACCUGCUCUUAACCAGGCAGCUAUUUGCCUACAUUUCUCUCCUGCCUAGGGUGUGGUUUCUUGACCAACUGAAAUCCAAGCUGCUGACACCCAGCGCAGCCCUCCAGCUGCAGGCUCACUGCCCUCCCGGUGUGCGCAGGCAGAGUCGGCCUUUUGUCACACAGCAGAACCAGGGGACUCACGUUCCUCAGGAUCAGGGAGACUGGAAGUCUGUAAGGGUGGACUGGUGGAAUGGAGAGCAGGUGGCCCUGCUGCCUGAAUUACUUACACCUGAGUUGCCCCUAGCUCACAUUUGCAAACUGAAUAAAUCUCAGAUCAGUGUUGUAUUUUAAAAUGGCAUCAGUCUGAGGGAAAAGGAGGGAAAAGAAGGGAAAAGAAGAAAAGGAAAAAAAGAAAAGAAAAAUACUGUUUGGAAGGUUUGGCUCGUGACUCAACACCUCAGGGCAGCCUGCUCCCACCAUGGAUGUGCUUCACUGGCACUUGGAUCCUUGGGCAUUCCUGGCUAAGAGGUGAGACCAGAAAUUGUCUCGGGGGAAUCAAAAGGAACGCAUCAAGGUAGGGGCCACACAUCCCAGCAGCGUGCUUCCCGUGCCUCAGUGCUCUCAAUUCAUUAAUCAGCAUGGUUAAUUUUAAAGAAGUUACCGUUUCUGCAGCUGGUUAUUAGGAAUCCUGUUGCUGGGUUAAUGGUUCUACUUGAAAACAGUUGUGGCAUCACUGCAGAUGAAGCCAGCUCACUUCAGUACGCCUUGUAAUAACGCGUUGCUGCAGAUCAUAUAUGCAGUCAUUGCCUUGUUUCCAUGGAAGAACAAAGUGGAAAUAUAUUUUGCAUCAGAUAUUAAAUGUGGCUUACCCAGUUCCCAGGCAGUUAAAUCACUGAGAAGUGUUGGAGCUGGCUAUGUUUGAUACCAUGUCUGCCUCUCUGCUUUGUUCCCAUGUACAGAUUCAGCAUCUGUAAUAUUUCACUUUGAACAUUCGCUUCUGAGCUGUGGGCAGAUGAAAACAAACGCCACGCAGAGACAUCAGAACCACAGAAGCCAUCUGCAGGAUGUAGCGUAGCUGUGCUAAUUCAUUUACUGAGAAUUAGGCUAAUUACCUACUGAGAAACAGAAUUUGUUAGCAAGUGCUCCUGGAACCCAGUCUAGCUUGUUUGGAGCCAGCCCAGGUAGCCUGGACAGGUGCUGCACACACUUCCUGUAAUUGAGGAAGCGCUGGGGGAUGCUCCACCUCAGAUGAAAUACAUAAACACGACGCUGGCAGCUUCUGGUCAGCGCAGAUCCUAUCAUGCCUCUUCGUCUGGCUCCCUGGGGAACUGCUUGCACAAUCUCGUUAUUUGUCUGACCCAGUUUCCAAUAUGCUGACACGUUUGUCACAGGUUACAGAGGAGUUUCAGAGGUGCUGCGUCCUUAGCAAUUUUGCAGGGGUUAGCACCCACCAGGAAGAGAGAAUUCUUAUUAAUGCUCCCAUUGAGAAGAAGGCAGAAUUUAGCAGUUCUUCAUUGUGGUUGACAGCAGCAAAUGAUUCUGAUUUGCAGGUUACUCCAUCACUCCUUAGCAAAUGCACUGUUUUCUUCAGCAAAUGCAAAAAGCCUGAGGCUGGCUAAGGGGCGCUGGGGCGUUACUACGUGGCUGUGGCAGGGGGCAGUCAGCGUUGUGAUGGGGAGAGAAAGAGAGAUGUGGCAUGAAUCCAUAAGGAGACAGGCUUCAUUGGGUACCGGGAAUCAUUUGUUAGGAAAGUACUGAGAGCAAUCUGGUAUGUUCAGAUACGUUGAUGCUCUGAUGUAACCCUUGCACAGUUUCACCCAUCAGCCGUCCGUGGCACAUCUCCUUGCUGUCCCGCAGCAGGAAUCCGCUGUCAUUUGACCUGAACAGAUCGCUGUAGUAGCUUUUCUUGGUGUGCGUUUAAUAAAGUUGUAACCACUGUGACUAUAACUCAUGGCUCUCGGUCGCUCCGCAGCGGUGCAACCAGCGGUUCGGCAUUCCAGCGACAUCAGUUCAAAGGGAAAUACGGAAGGCUCAGAUGUGCGCCAGAGCUUUGUGACUUUUAUUACUCCUCCCGCACUUCUCUGUUAGGAAGAUACAUUCUCUACUGCAGAAUUAAGAAGUACAAAGCACCCCCAGACCUUGUAGUGCAAAAUGUAAGAAGUGAUGUUAUCUGCAGAAAGUGGACUUUAGAUUCUAUCAGCGCGCCUUUAGCAUAAAGCAUUUCCUAUGGUAAUGCCUCUCACUUUCCCAGACUUUUACGGGCUCCAAGUGGCACAGAGGCUGCAGACCUCUUUGUAAUGUUAAUGAAUCAUCUUAAUGGACUGUUUUAGCAGCAACAUUCAUCACCUUUUGUACCACAAUGAUUUUUUUUGUUAUACUUAAAUGGUUAAGUAGGCAAUAAAUGCCUAUCAGACCAACCACUAUGGUCUAGUCAUCCACCUCGCCAUAAAUCACCGGUGGAUUAUUAUUGUCCUGUUUAAUUAACACUCUUAAGGGAUUCAGUCGUUGGAUAGACUUUCACCUUGCACUAAGCAGGCAUUAACAUUUCAAGGAAGAAAAAGUGUGUUUAUGUGAAAAGCGUCAAUCAGUGCUGGUGGCGGUGGAUGAAAUAUGUGUGUGUGUGUCUGUGCAUCCCUGUCGGUUUGCAAUAGGAGCUACACCCAGACCUGCAGAGCGCCUGUUUUAGUUAUAGCCAAUGGUCGGUUCCGUAUCGUCUGCGUUAGGGCUUGAAGAUAUUUGAAGGCAUUUGAUUGUAAAUACCAGCUCUAAAGGAUUUGGCUCCAGCCGGUAGGAAGGUGGCAUUUUUUGUCAGCAUAGAGCAUGGGUUUUUCGUUGGUGGGUUUGUUUGUUUGUUUGUUUGUUUUUGUGUGCGUGUGUGGUCUGAUUCAGCCUUCAUACUUGUACAGGAUUCAAUCAAACUUUUUCUUUCUUUUGCAGCACCUGGUGAGAGGGAAGCACUGAUCCCGUUGCUGCUCCCUUUUGAGACUUCACAGCCAGAAGGAGGAAGCGAAGCAGCGCGAGCGCCGGAGGGCCGGGCUGGAGGAGUGGGUGCUGUGUGCAGAACAGCACCGGCAGCUCUUUUGCAAACGAAAUUCACGCGUAGGACACAAGCUGUGUGCAGCACCGCUCUCACUAUGCAGACGUUUCUCUGCAGUUUGGCUCCAUGCUGCCUUCCUCCUCUUGACAAAAUAGAAAGAUGGCAGCGCUUUCUUCUUUCAUCUGUAAUGCAAUAUAAUGCAUUUAAUAGCAAUUUCCUUGUCUUUUGUCAAAGGAUAAAGUCAUGUGAAAAAGGCUCUUGUUAAUGCAGUGUUUCCCAUGCCCGAAACCUAAUCCUGCUCUCUUUGAUUUUGUCAGGCUCGCAGUGCGGCGCAGCACCGCCUGCACAUGGCUGGUAUCCGUGCUACAGGAGCGGCAGCCGAGUGAGACGAACCCAGUGCUGUGUUUCCGUCUCGCAGACACAGCGACCGGCGCAUGGAUGUCAGAGCGUGGAGGUGUUGGAGGCUCUCAGGGAGCUGUGUGGCUCGUGGGACCCCGUUUCUGGUCUGUACACAAACUUGCUGUGCACAUCCCCGUCUGAUGGCUUUCCUGCUGAAUCAUGUUCUGGUACAGACUCCUGCAACUUAAAUAACAAUUGAAACUGCUAAGUGGAACACGAACUUGUGAAUUAAGAGACUGAAUCUCCAAGUAUUAAUUCAUUUCCUGUAACGAGGUUCAAGUUCUAUAAGAUUAAGUCCUUCCUUUUCAAUAGAGGUUCCAUAUUGUAUUGGCUAGCAGAAUCGAAUGCUGCAGGCAUGGAAAAGCAUUAUUUAAUGAAGCCUGUUGAGGAGAGGCGAGGAAAGCGCCACAGUUUUCACUGGAUGCUUUUGUUUCAGAUCCACGGCUGCCAGCAUUGAUGCUCACCUGCCAGUUUUUAUCCUAUCUGUAACUGGAAGGGUGGGAGAUGAUUCACGACAUAGGAAAUAGCACAGAACUCCAAGGGGGGUUGAAUAAGACAAGAAAUUAAACUGAGCUCAUAAGAGGUGCACUUCAAUCUCAUGAGAACCUGCAGUGACAGAAAAUCAGACAGUCACGUGUGCAGUGCAGUGUUACAGUGUGUGUGCAUGGGUUGCACCAUGGUUUGUUUUUUGUAGGUUUUUUGGUUUUUUUGCAAAUCAUUUAACAGAGAUGCACAAAAAAGCACACAAAGUUUCAAGUGUAGGCAUGUACUAAGAAGAAUCUCCCUCUUUCCCUCUAGACACACCCUGCUAAUUAAAUCCAUCACUGCCUAGCAGUAAGCCCUAGGGAUCAAUCUUUUCUAGAGCACUGUUGCUAUCCAACAUUUUAGCUCAUACAGCGGGCAGCCAAGAUUUCAUGUCUAUGCAUAUAGCAGGACUGCUAGCCAAUAUUUCCUGUUCUUCUCCUUCCCAUCUCAAUCUGGGUACAUCGUGUAGUUUUGUUGGUUUUUUUUUAAUAGGUAGGUGAAAUGUCAGUGUUCUUUUCUGAUUGCUUUCUUAUAUCCUAAUGCAAAGAACUGCGGGAAGGUGAGAUGUGAAAGCAAUAAAACCAGGCCUGUGUGCUCCGUGUAGCUAGCUGGCCAUGAGGAACUGCAGGAAGGAUGGAUAUUGAAUGACUUCUAUAGUCCGCUGGUUUUUAUCAGAGCAGGUCAUCGACCAGUGGGCUGCCCAAACCUGUUCCACUGCUUCCCCAUUGAUUAAAUAUCUGGAGACAUUUACGUGCAGAUCAAAUUCUCCAUAAUCUAUUUCAUCUCAAUCACACCCAAGCCCUUUUUCAAGCUGGGGCAAAAACGUUCCCUCCAGUGCUGAGAAAAGAUGGUAUGUCGCCCUAAUGUACUUCUCUGAGUUUCCUUGGAGCCAAACUAUGACCUCAGAUUCCCAAGGGCUGACAUCAGCAGGACUCAGGCAGUGUAAGAGAGGUGAAACCCUUCUCAUGUGCCCAAAUGUCAAGGAAUUUAAAACAUGGUUCUUUUUUUUUUCCAUUGUCAGAGCUGACAUUUAUGGGGGAAGGGAGGCGCAGAGGGGCUGUGCAGCUUCCAGCCCACCUCCAAUGGCCAGCAUUGCUUCUGAAUCUUGCUACCUGUGUCAUCCACAAUGAGAUGGAGGGUCUUUUGUGGAAUUGUUACUUGUUCUUUCCCAGUUUUAAUUUAUUCCCAGUUUCUUUUCCCGCUCUUACUGCCCAUCUCAGUGUCAUCCUGCAGACAUUCAACUAAUGGUUGAAUGGGAAGAAAUGUAAAGAAAAAAUGUGGCCUACAGAUACCUUAUGUUACAUACAUGCAAGAUAAAAUAUCUGUAGCACUGCAAUGUGUGUGAUAGUGAAGCUGGGAGAUGCCUGAAAGAGUAAGAAACCAAAGGAUGACAAUUUAGUAUUUUAUAUUAGGUUCUUCUGUUGUACUUUAACUGGGGUGUAAUUUCGGUAGUUGUUUUGUUGCUGUUAUUUGUUUGCUUGUUUGUUUUCCCCCAAGGAAUGCCCAAAAAAGGGAUCACAAUUUUUCCUAAUUCUCAGCUGACCCUCGUGCAGUGCAGUUCCAGCCCCCACUCCUCCUGCCAUGUAACCCCUCCAGCCAAGCACUGCCCAGCGCCUCCACGGCUGCCUCCAGGUGCUCCAGUGCUGCACAGAUCCAUGGCCUGGCCAGCAAGAGGGGAGCAUGGCGGGGCUUCCAUGGCUGAACAACUUCUGUCUCUUCUAAAUAAAUAGAAGAGCUGGUAUAAAUGAAUGUGGAUAAACUACUGCUAAUCUUGCCAGUUCGUAUGAGAGUGCAAGAAGUGAGUACAAAGAUGAACUUUUCAUCUCAUUGAACUCAUUCCGCCUCAGUGCGUUUAUAGGCAGCUAUAAAUUCCUAUACCUGGGGAGGCAGUUGGCAAAGCUUACAGCACCGGUUUUAUUUUCAAAAUGAUGAUAACAGUAUGCAUUUGUGCAGCACAGAAAUGUUUCUCCAAUAUGAAGUCAGUUUUCUGAUUUUACAGUUAUAAAGACUUGAGAAGUUAUUGAUGAUUUCUCAAACGUUCAGCAGAAAGCAUUUGUGUUGUGGUGUUUCAGCAUGUUUCAGAUAACGGAAUCGUGGAUGGGAUGGGUUGUAAAGGACAUUUAAGGUCAUCUAUUUCCAACCCCCCGCCAUGGGCAGGGACACCAGUUUGAGCAAGUGUUAAUGCAUUUAUGCUUAAUUAUAAUGAUGAAUUACAGUGUUUAAUGUAUUUAUUACACGUGUCUCAUGUGAAACAUGUGAAACAAAUGUUUCAUUUCAAAGUCCAAGUUCUCUCGGUUUGAGUCUCCAGCAAAAGACUGAACAUUUUGUAACAGAGGGAGAAAAAGGAUGGAGACUCUGCUGCUGUCUCAUAACGGUGAACUGGUCUGAGCGUGGAUGUGACUGGGCGCUGUGCAGGAGCUCAUAGUGUGCAACAUUUAUUCUGUGACCUGAAAAGGGGAAGUUCUUCACAAAUCAAGAUGAAUCUCCAUGUUGGCGUGUAAGUUACUGGUUUGUUUUCCCCAGGUCAUGCUUUAUGAGUGACUCAAUGCAUCUGAUGUGAGCACAGUGUCCUCUCCUGCUUGGUGCUGCGCUGCUCCUCGCUGUGCCCAUGGAGAAUAAGCGCAGCACUGAUGUGGCACAGGUUUCUUAAAUCAGGAGACGUGCUCAGGGUGUUAUGAGAACCUCUCAGGCAGGAUUUCUGACCUGGAGUCUGUGGCCGUGAAGGUUGUUUGUUCCCUCAGGUUUUUUUUAAAUAAAUACUUUAAAUCCUCCCAAUGCUCAGCUCAUCUCUCUUAUUCCUUCGUUUUUUACCCUGUUUCUUCCAAGUCGCAGCCUGCAGACUGUACAGUUCUCUUCCUACUUGCCAUUUUUUGGUGCUUUCCAGAGUAAGUGUGACAUGAAAGGCUUUGGGUAACAGCGCUGUAAUCAGUUGUUGGACCAGAAUUAAACUUCAUGUAUUUAUUUUUUUUUUUUUCCAGGACUCCCUGGGAAGUUUUGCCGCAGCUUUUUCCCUCCCCAAGGAGGUGAUACAGACCCGUGGCCGUCCCUUCUGUCAGCCCGAGCAGACAGCCUGAAUUCCCAUCCAUUCCCAUGGGCAGACCCACGAUUCCCAGAAAACCUCCCUCCAGCUCAGCGCUUCUUAGAAGAGCAGGAAUUGCUUCCAAAUGCCAGCAGUGCUGUCAGCAGCGGCUCUCACUGCCUGCACAGAUCUGCAGAGAUUUGGGUCCUUCCCAGCUGCCCGUGUGGUCUGAUUGCCUUCCUCGUGUCAAUUAUUCAAAGAAGCGCUUGAUUGCUAAGAUGCUGGUGUGAUUUGAGUGCUUAUUUCCCUGUGGUAACUGAUCUUCUUUGUUUGUUGGCAAAAAGAUUCCUGUUUAUAGAAAACGUCGCGUUUCUUUGGCAGGCUCUCUAACAUACAAGUGAAUGUCAUUACAUAUUCAGAUGUGUUUUAUGACAGAAAUUUUGAUGUAUAUUUUGUGACUUCUGUAAUCAAGAGUCCUUGAAAAGCUCUUUGGAGGCAAAAUGACUUUAAAAACUGUAAGACUUAUCAACUCGUUCUCCUACUUACUCUCCCUUCAUUUAACAGCACAAUGCCAUCAGUUGUUGAAUGCAGUUUCUGGAGUCAAGCUUCAACUCCAUCCAACCUAGAUUUUAUAGGUUAUAUGUACUUUUUUCUAUAGAGCUCAACUAGUUCUUAACAGAACAAAGGAGGACAUGCAGAAAAAUAGCGAGAUAAUAAAUGAGCACUGCCCCAGACUUUUAGAAAGGAACGUCUCUCUGGGAAGGAGCCAGACCUGUGAGCUGACCGUGCCUGAAGCACAAGCAGGAAUUCUCCACCCGAAAGAGGCGCUGCUGGCAUCAGUUGGAUAUUUGCUAUUUAUUAAAAUUAAUAAGCUAACACCAAAAACGAUUGGUUGUUGUGGAUGUGUGGAUGUGCAGCAUAUUUCUGUCUAACAACACGUGUGAUGUCAUCGCGGGCGAUGACUGAGAUGUGAGCUCUGUCAGUCAGAGACUUCAACAGAUGUGUUUGCUAAUGGUUUUUUUUUCACUGAUUAGGGAUGUUUUUAAUUAUUUACUUAAGCUGAUGCAACUUCCUGCGAUGAACACAGCCUUGCAGAUGUAGAGAUGUUCUUAGCCUGUAAGUGAUUGUAGUGUGAGCAUGUGUUAUGUUAGGAAACGCAGUGAUGGGUGUUAGUCAAUUGCAUGAGGACCCGGCUGGAAGUUCCCUGCCUGCUUUACCAUUUGGCCAUGC